rnacentral:lncRNA from 1 species
CAUGGAGAGUUUACAUGAGAAACUCUUUCUCGUGUAAAGCAAGGGGCGCACAAGAUAAGGUGGGUGGCGCAUGGAUUAGUUGGUUGCCCAUUCAAAUUCAAACAUCCUUUGAAUUUGAAUGGCCAACUAACUUAUUUUUAUCCAGAUAAUUGGUGCACAAGGGUGGGCGUGGGAUGCCUUCUGUGUGGGAGAAAAUUCAUGAGAAGUUGCUUCUCGUGAAUUCAAAUGGGUGCAGAGAAGUGAGGUGGCGC